AUCAUUUCAUAGUUUUCCCACCUACGAAAAUAAAAAUAAGCGUUGAAUUGGGCUAUAUGGUGAGAGGAGGAGACGACAAUUACUCUGAGGAAAGGUACUUUAGUGUGUGCUAAGCCCUUCACGGAGGAUGAGGUCCGUGUCCAACCGGAGUACGGUCGAUCUCGCACCGUGGGCUGUGCCUUCCAGGUUUGCGUGGAAAAGUUGCGGAGACGUUAAAUCACGCGUCAUAACGGGCUGUUUGUGGUGCAGAGCAGUAAAUGUCCAGAUGGUCCAGUCCCAGGCUCCGUGGCCGUGCACAAACGUAGUGACGAACUUCCGCUGUCGCCAGAAGUCGACCAAGUAUAGGUCUCUGCAGGAAAGUAAUUUGUGGUUUUAAGAAUUUGUGGUCAGAUAUAAAUAAAUAUGUAAUUCCUAAUAAAGUUAAAGAAACUCACUUUAAAAUAAUAAACAGAUACUAUCCAUGUAAUGAUUUUAUUGGUAAGUUUAAAGAAGGGUUUUUGCCAUUAUGUAGUUUCUGUAAAGAAGAAAAUGAAACAAUUGUACACUUAUUUUUCAGUUGUAAUUAUACUAAAUUAUUUUGGUCCCAAGUUUCUUGGUUUCUUUUUGAGUUAUUUUAUAAGUUUGUCACAAUAACCGAUGUAAUGGUCUUGUUUAUGGAUUGUGAUACUGGUUUAAUCCAGGGGAAGUCGUGGCGUAAUGGUUAGAGAGUCCGACUCCCAAUCGAAAGGUUCUGAGUUCGAGUCCCGGGCCGGCAGGAAUUGUGGGUGGGAGUGCAUGUACAAUUCUCUCUCCACCUUCAAUACCACGACUUAGGUGCCCUUGAGCAAGGCAUUGAACCCCCAACUGCUCCCCGGGCGCCGCAGCAUAAAUGGCUGCCCACUGCUCCGGGUGUAUGUGUUCACUGCUCUGUGUGUGUGCACUUCGGGUGGGUUAAAUGCAGAGCACAAAUUCUGAGUAUGGGUCACCAUACUUGGCUGAAUGUCACUUCACUUCACUUUU